AUGUGUCUUGGCUAAUGUGUCUUGGCUAAGGUGUCUUGGCUAAUGUGUCUUGGCUAAUGUGUCUUGGCUAAUGUGUCCUGGCUAAUGUGUCUUGGCUAAUGUGUCUUGGCUAAUGUGUCUUGGCUAAUGUGUCUCGGCUAAGGUGUCUUGGCUAAUGUGUCUUGGCUAAUGUGUCUUGGCUAAAGUGUCUUGGCUAAGGUGUCUUGGCUUAUGUGUCUUGGCUAAUGUGUCUUGGCUAAUGUGUCUUUGCUAAUGUGUCUUGGCUAAUGUGUCUUGGCUAAGGUGUCUUGGCUAAUGUGUCUUGGCUAAGGUGUCUUGGCUAAUGUGUCUUGGCUGAUGUGUCUUGGCUAAUGUGUUUUGGCUAAGGUGUCUUGGCUAAUGUGUCUUGGCUAAUGUGUCUUGGCUAAGGUGUCUUGGCUAAGGUGUCUUGGCUAAUGUGUCCUGGCUAAUGUGUCUUGGCUAAUGUGUCUUGGCUAAUGUGUCUUGGCUAAUGUGUCUUGGCUAAGGUGUCUUGUCUAA